AAAAAAUAAAAAGCAAAAACAACAUCAAUUAGAUGUCAACAUGACAUCAAAGAGCAUAAUAUAUAAUGAAAAUAAAUGUAUGAUCUGGUGACUCAAUGAUUUCUGUCCAUAUGGCAUUUACAGAGAAGUAAAGAAAAGGCAUUAAAUAGCUACACAUCUGCAUUGAGGAAAAUAUGUAAUAUAAAGCUGGCCAUAGUCACAGCACUAGUAGAUUCUUAGAAAUAAAUAACAUACUGAGCGAAAGCCAGUUUCCAACAGAUAAUAUGCAUUUAGAGAUUAGUGUACUGAACAACAUUCGGGUUAUAUGUGUUGUAAUACAAAAAAUUAAGGAGGGAGCUGUUCAGUUUGUUGGCAGUAGGCCCAAGUUCAUAGAUGGUGUGUAGUGCAACUGCAUACAAAGGGAUGCAAAAGUACAAUCAGAGAGAAAAAAAAGAAAACUUUCACAAUAAAUGUGACUAUAUGUUGAAAAUAUUAAAAUGAAUACUGACUCCUAGCCUAUUGCUAGCUGUACUGGCUGAAAGACACAUGAAAAAGCUUCUUUGUAUAAGUAGUGAGCACAUAAAAAAACACUGAGAAUCAGCUAAGCCUCUAAAAUAAUAAUCUGGGAAUUCCAUUCAUUAUUAUAGUAAAGAGCAUCAUAACUUUAAGGAAAGUAGGGAAGCGGGGGAAAGAGGUGAGACUGUGGGGGUGGGAACUAGAGGAAAAAAAAAACCACACCAAAAAACAGAAAGAUCCAGAAUCAAACACAGUCUCUGUUAUUUUAAUUUGUUGUUCAUUUUCAGUGGAGUGAUAACUGCAACAGCUCAGUCUGAACUGCCUGGAUCAACACUUUCCUUUCUAAGGAACUUGGAUGUGUUUCACAGCUUACAUCUGGACAACAGAGUACAGGGUGAAAGAACACAAGAAUACAUCACGUAUUCUCUUUGCAUACUUCAAACCCGGAUCUCAUGUACAAUAAAUGUACAUGGAAACGCACAAAAAUGUAUAUGCAGAAAUAUAUGUAUCUACACACACGUUCACGUUGGCAGUGGUUCCUUCUGAUUUGGGAAGGUGUCAGAGGUGUUAUGCCAUCAAACUCUGAAGUGCUGGCUGGUGUGGUAGGAGAAAGCAGGACAGAAGAGUGGAUGAACAGCCAUUAUAUGUGAGUGCUCUGUGCAACUAGUAGUUGUAUUUUUUUUUUCCUAUCACUUUAGCUUUUCUAAUUGCAAUUCUAAAACAAAUUAUAAUUUCUGAGCUAAAAAUAGCCUUCUCUGUUACGUUUCUAGUCAUAUAUACUUUCAGAUGAUGAUGCAGAAAUUUUAUUUAGCAAUGACUUUAUUUUCAGAAGUCAAUGAUACUCACUUAGUAUCCAAACCAUGUAAUUUCUCCUUGCAUGCAGCCUAAGAAAUUUGCAAUAGGUACUGAGUAAACUAUUGCUUUAAUUGAAUUAAACUGUGAAGGGAAAUUAUUCUUCAUCAGUUUAUAAGUGAGAAAAAAAUCUUCAGUAGAAUGCAUCUCUUGUGCUGAUUUUCUACAACAGAUGCAGAAUGUUUUGUGUAUUUCAAGUGAAGAAUAUUUCACUGCUGAACAUAUGUCUAAUGUUAGCAAAUACUCCACGGAGGCUGUAUUGAUAAGCUAUUCGCUGGGUUUAUCUUUUCAAUAUGUUUACAGAAAGGUCCUUGAAAAUACUAAAAUGAAUAGCUUUGCUGUCUGGAAAUUUAUUUGGUAUUUUAAUUCUG
ensembl:lncRNA